GUGUUUAGGGGACCGCCAAGUGCGAGAGUGAGAGAGAAAUGAAGUUAUGAGGGUGCGACAGAGAGGUGUUUCACCUUUACCUUUGGUGGCUUCAUGGUUCGGAAAACUACACCUCACAAGUUGAAGUUGAAACUUGGUGUAUAGAACUAGCCAAUUUCCCUAUAAAAGUUGUUAUAUUAGAGAAGUAUUGAGAAUGAAGUAUUGGAUACGGUGGGGAUGGUGACGUUGCUUUGGAGGGGUCGCCAACUACAAGAAUUCUCAGAGUGAAACCAGUUGAAACGACCGUGUACUAGUAGACUUUUAGUCUAGUACCAGUAAGGUGUCGUGUGUAACUUCGUGCGCGGUCCGUGCUUCGAUUCCCAAAUAAUUUCAACCAAAAACCAAGUUCAAAUGUGCUAGCAUUUAUCGAAAAUAGCACGGUUAUCACGAUUUUUAAAAGCAGAACUAAUUAGAGGUGAUAGAUGGCUAGCAUGAAGUGAAAUUAUUGGACGGCUUCGAAUCCUGUGGCUCGUUCGUUUGAUACGGUGUCCACGCAAUCCACAACUAAAACUGUUUUUAAUUUAGAUGUCUGCACGAUGCAAGCACAUGUCUCGUCCUGGUGACGCAGACGGCAGACUAAUACGGCUUUGAUUGGACGUCUGCAACUCCUGUCCUCGCUUUAGUGACCAAGUCAGUGAAUCGAUCCCGGCACCAAGAUGAUGGGAAAUCAGACUCUGUGCGCCCUCUAUGUGGCCACCGCUGGGCUACAAGGCAAUGCCCUCGGCUCUGAUGAGGAGGAGAUUGUGCUCCUCAUCUAUACCAUCAUCGACAUCACUAGGAAUAAGGUGAUCGGAAUGCAGCAAUACGUGGUGAAGCCUUCCUCAGCUGAUGUCAAUGACAACUUGCUAUCUGAUCAACUAGUUCAAGAAUCAUUCAUCACUGAAGAAAUGGUCAAAACUAAUGGAGUAUCCCUGGAAUCUGCCAUCAAACAGUUCGACGAGUUCAUUCGGUUGUUACAAAUAGACCCAGAUUCGCCGUUAUUCAAAUUCAUCACAGAUGGGCAACUGCCACUCCGGCAAUGUCUGCUCCCUGAAGCUUGCACCAAAGGCAUCACUCUACCUGACUACUACUGCUCCUUCUAUGACCUCAGGAAGCACUUCAGCCACUUCUACAACGUGCCUGAAGACCAGGAGUUCAAAUCUGUUAAAGAUCUCGUUGAUUAUCUCGGCAUGCCACAUGAACUAAACUCAGAUUUAUACAUAGGUUGCGUACAGGAUAUGGUUAACAUCAUUCUCAGACUAAUAGCUGAUGGACACAGCUUCAGUAACCCGGAAACAAUACAGAUAAAACUAGAACCAGGAAUAUGCUCCAAAGACGAAGAAGUUGACAAUAAUUGUGUUGUCCGCGCUCGGGGACUUCCAUGGCAAUCGUCUGAUCAGGAUAUCGCUAAAUUUUUCCGGGGUCUUAAUAUCGUCAAGGGAGGAGUUGCACUGUGCCUAAGUCCUCAGGGAAGAAGGAACGGCGAGGCGCUAGUGAGAUUUAUAUCUCAGGAACAUCGAGAUUUGGCGCUAAAACGGCACAAGCAUCACAUCAGUGAUCGGUAUAUCGAAGUGUAUAUGGCAACAGGUACCGACUUCGUCAUGGUUGCCGGAGGUUGUAAUAAUGAAGCUCAAGCUUUCCUGAAGAAGGGUGCCCAGGUCAUCAUUCGGAUGCGAGGUUUGCCCUAUGACUGCACUGCGGAAGAAGUUCUGGAGUUUUUCGACCGUGGAGAGAAUAGUUGCAAAGUGAUGGAUGGCACGGAUGGGGUACUUUUCGUGAAGAAGCCGGACGGCAGAGCGACAGGGGAUGCGUUUGUGCUAUUCGCCGAGGAUGAGGUGGCUCCCAAAGCACUCAGUAAGCACCGCGAUCUCAUUGGCUCCAGAUACAUCGAACUUUUCAGGAGCACAACCGCCGAAGUUCAGCAGGUUCUGAACCGGUCAAUGGAUCCGAAGACGUUCGAGGUGACUCCAACCCCCCUGCCGCUCCCCGCCCUGCCCCAGCCCAUGCCUCUCCUUCCCCAGCACGUGAUCACGUCUGGCACUCGCAAGGACUGCGUCCGUUUACGGGGUCUUCCUUACGAGGCACAGGUCGAGAACAUUCUCGAAUUCCUCGGCGAACAUGCUAAGAACAUAGUUUUCCAGGGCGUUCAUAUGGUCUACAACACUCAGGGACAGCCUUCGGGCGAAGCAUUCAUCCAGAUGGACUCAGAGUCGUCAGCAUUCAUGACGGCGCAACAGAAGCAUCACCGUUACAUGUUCUACGGCAAGAAGCAGCGAUACAUAGAGGUAUUCCAGUGCUCAGGCGACGACAUGUCGAUGGUUCUGACGGGCAACUACCCGGCCACUUCACUGCCCACCUCAGCUGUUUCGCCGGUCGCCAAAACACUGCUCAGUCCCGGCGGCACAAUCUUGAGACUGCAACCUGCUCCGCCGUUGCAUUUUGUGCCCCCCCAGGCACUGAUGGGCCGUCCCCCUGUUCCUGGUGCUGCUCCCCCCUUCCUCUACUGGGCUGCUUAUCCGUCACCACCUGUUUCACCCCCGCAGCCGCCGCCCCAUCAUCUGGUAAUCAUGCCGCGGUCUGACUUUCUGCACUCAGUUCCCGCCGAGAUCUGACAGUGGAAUAUGGAUUACUUGGGCGUAAAUCAACAAUGGGGCAAUGGACAGCCAUUUGGAGUCGGUAUUCAUUCGGCAGUCGCUUGAAAGAGAAAGAAAGGACAAU
rnacentral:misc_RNA from 1 species